UAUUCAACCUGCGAGAACUCCUGUACCAAGUGACCCUGGCAGCAGCAUCACAGCGACAACUUCACGUACGACACGUACCGCAACCGGCUCUGCAUCUUCGCCACAACUUCUUGAUACAGUAUUUCAGCUAUCGUGUACAUUGACUACGAACUGGUACUUAUCAUUCUUGUGUCUAUGAACUUACUCCUCACUUUGAUGGCUAUAGACUCUUUCACUGUCUCUUCUUCAUCGCCAUCCUUAUAUGUUCUUAACGUGCAUACAACUAUGCCUACAUACACACGCAUACAUCUUAUUCUUAUGACGGUCUAUCUAUCAUUCUGUAUAUAUGACGCACACUCAAUCACACAUGUUAACAUAUCAAUAAAUUUUCUCUUAAACAUUCUA